CGCCAGAUAGCUCAGUUGGUAGAGCACCUGACUAAAGAUUCAGGGGGCCCGGGUUCGAAUCCCGGUCUGGUCC
rnacentral:tRNA from 1 species